GGCUCCCCGCAGCUGACGCAGCAGAAGUGGUCUGGGUGCCAGUGGGUGCCCAAAGCAGUAACCAUCUUCUGUGGGGAAUGAAAGUGGACACGCAGCGUGACCCUCCAUCUCUUCUUUCCUCCCUCUCCCGCCCUGAACCUAGAGGCCACAUCGUGGGGAGAAGCGCUCAAAGUAACACUCAGGGCAGAAGGGGGCGCCAUCCUUCUCGAAGAAGCUGCUGCCUCCCAGGGCCGUGGAACAGCCAUUACACAGGAAGUGCUCAGGGUGCCACGCCCGCCCUAGCGCCGUCACCACCUGGGAGUUGGAGAUGAGGCCUGGGUCAGAGUGGCCCGUGGGCUACCUACCGUGUGCCCAGUGAGCUAAGUCUCCUUGCUAGAUGGGAACUGAGACAUUAUUUCAUCUGCGGAGAGGAGAGAAGGGCUGGACACGGGACCGUGCUCUACCCGCCUCCCGCGCCCCUUACCUGUACAGAUGGUCCUUGUCCCCUGAGGCUCCUGAAGACUCGCCAGACCCCAUCUACAGAGAGGACACAGCGAGCUGCGCCCUCCGCAACUAGAAUGAAGUCAAUGAUCUGCCGCUGAGCUUCUUGAGUAGCCACAUGACUCAGUUGGUUGGAGCACGUCCUCUCAAC